rfam:Felis catus isolate Cinnamon breed Abyssinian chromosome C1, whole genome shotgun sequence.
ACCUGGGUGGCUCAGUUGGUUGAGCGUCUGACGUCUGCUCAGGCUGUGAUUUCAUAGUCGUGGGUUCGAGCCCCGCCUCAGGCU